rnacentral:rRNA from 1 species
UACGGAGGUGGCUAGCGUUGUUCGGAUUUAUUGGGCGUAAAGGGUGUGUAGGCGUUCUGUCAGGUCGUAUGUGAAAGCCUUUGGCUUAACCAAAGAACUGCAUGCGAAACCGACAGAAUUGAGUACAAAAGAGGAGAAUGGAAUUCUCGGUGUAGAGGUGAAAUUCGUAGAUAUCGGGAAGAACACCAGUGGCGAAGGCGAUUCUCUGGUUUGAUACUGACGCUGAAACACGAAAGCUAGGGGAGCAAACAGGAUUAGAUACCCCCGUA